rnacentral:rRNA from 1 species
UGAAACAUCUAAGUACCCGGAGGAGAAGAAAACAAAAGUGAUUCCGAUAGUAGCGGCGAGCGAAAUUGGAUUAGCCCAAACCAGUAUUGUUACGGCAAUGCUGGGGUUGUAGGACCACGAUAUUCGAGUCAAGAUGAAUUAGAACAGUUUGGAAAGACUGACCAAAGAGGGUGAUAGUCCCGUAUAAGUAAAGAAUGAUAAGAUAGUGGUAUCCUGAGUAGUGCGGGGCACGUGUAACCCUGUGUGAAUCAGUCGGGACCAUCCGAUAAGGCUAAAUACUCCUGAGAGACCGAUAGUGAACUAGUACCGUGAGGGAAAGGUGA